rnacentral:rRNA from 1 species
GAUGACGCUGGCGGCGUGCCUAAUACAUGCAAGUCGAGCGAACAGAUGAGGAGCUUGCUCCUCUGACGUUAUCGGCGGACGGGUGAGUAACACGUGGAUAACCUACCUAUAAGACUGGGAUAACUUCGGGAAACCGGAGCUAAUACCGGAUAAUAUAUUGAACCGCAUGGUUCAAUAGUGAAAGACGGUUUUGCUGUCACUUAUAGAUGGAUCCGCGCCGCAUUAGCUAGUUGGUAAGGUAACGGCUUACCAAGGCAACGAUGCGUAGCCGACCUGAGAGGGUGAUCGGCCACACUGGAACGGAGACACGGUCCAGACUCCUACGGGAGGCAGCAGUAGGGAAUCGUCCGCAAUGGGCGAAAGCCUGACGGAGCAACGCCGCGUGAGUGAUGAAGGUCUUCGGAUCGUAAAACUCUGUUAUUAGGGAAGAACAAAUGUGUAAGUAACUAUGCACGUCUUGACGGUACCUAAUCAGAAAGCCACGGCUAACUACGUG